GUGCUGAGGGGAGGGGCGUGGCGAGGUGAGUGCCAGGAGGCGGCCUUGCUGGGCCGCAGAGGGUCCUGGGCUGGGCAGGGGAGCCCUGCCAGCGGUUUCCAGAGCUUCUCGCUGUCCGGCCCACGCCCGGCUCCUCUGUGUUCACUGGCUGCUCGGAACAAGUUCAGAGCCCGUGCGAUUGGAAGCGAAUUCCAGGAGACCGUGCUGUCUGCGAGCGGCUUCAGAGCCCGCCGACCGUCGCCAGCAGAGCAGGCCCUGGGGCCGGCUGGAGAGUGGCUGGGGUCUGGUCUGGAGCCACGCUCUGGGCCCUGCAGCCCAGCGGGACAUGCUGUGUCCUAGCCUCGAGAAGGGCGGACACCUGGGCCCUAGCCAGGAAGGCCCGGUCACACCCUGACCUGCAGAACGAACAGCUCGUUGGCCAAAAGCCGGCCCCCACGUCUGGUCGGGAGGAGGACCUGGCUCAGGAGGGGACAUGUUCCCGAGGCCCCCAGGACAGGAAGCCCUUCCACGCAGGCGGCUCCUCCCGCCCUUUACAGCCUGAGACAAAUUGAAUUUAACUACGAAGAGGGAGAGUCCCCUGCCGGCCUCUGGGAGAGGACGCGAUGUCUAAGACAGCUUCUCAUAGUGACUCCUUGCCUCCUGCCGCGCCAGCGCCCCACGCCCACCCCACCGCUGACCCUCCCCGUCCUCCUGAGGUGGUGCCCUGCCUGCAUGGCCUGGCUCCGCCCACCCUUGUGCUCAGGACACCUCCCAGCAGCCCGUGCACAUCACAUGACCCUACCUGGCCACCAGGGAAGUCCAGGUGCAUUCUGGGAGUCACCCGACACCCUGGGGUUCAGUGCUGGGAGUACCUAGGAGUCCUGGCCCCGGGGGCCUGGGAGUGGUUGACGAGCAACCCCCUCGGUGUCCCACAGGCAGAGGCUGCAUGUCCCCGCCUCCUGCUCCUUGUGGAGGCAGAUACUGACCCAGCUUAUCCCAGAAAACCCAGGCCGCCUGGUGAGGCCACACUUUCAGACUACCCACCACACAGACUCCGGAGCGCCACCCAGGUUCCAUUCGCUCGUUCAGCUGGACGACGAUGCCUGCUCCCUCUGGUUGCUGUGACAACAUCACACGCCAGGAGAUGAAGUGACCCAGAGUCACAUCUGACCGCUCGGAGCUGAGCUGGAACCAGGGUGUCGUGGAACUGUGCACCAGGCUGUGCCAGGCUGGAAGCCCUGUGUUCCUCCUUCCCCAGGACGAGCAAAGGCCAGGCUGGUCUUUCUGACACUGGGGUUGACCCUCCAGCUUCCCUUGUCCACAUUUAAAGGACCCUGUCGCACCCCACAAUGCGGCUUGAAAGCAGGUGGUCAGCAACCUGAGAUCCACCUGCAGCCUGGUCCCCGCAGCAGGUGAGCAGCACGUCCAACGCAGGACGGAGGUCGGGGCAGACACCUGGGGACACUGUUCAGCCCCCACAGCGACUUGACCAACCCCUUUCCACUCCGAGUCUCUAACCCUGUGGGUACCACAGUCAGGAAAAUGACCGUGGAUGUGAAGCAAAGGCCUCAAACCAGCCCCUGUGGGCAACGGUCACCCGUGGGCAGGGCUGCUCCGCUCCCUCCUUCCAGGCUGAAUUCCUUGCUGAUGUUUCUAAACUUCACACUAGAGGUCAGAUUCCCCGAAUCUCUUGACUUCUAGCAGGUCCCACCUGUGGGACCUGCUCCCUGGACUUGACCACCAGACACCGGGUCCUGGCCACUGCUCCAGGACGGGCAUUGGCUCCCACCCACCGUGGCCCAGUGUCCACCGUUCCCUACGGCCUUUCUCAGCUGCUUCUGCAGUUUCAGGCCCUGCUGGUCCUGGGGGGAGCUGGGUGCGAGACGUCUGCUCAUAAGCAUCCUGCACACAGAUCUCACCAAGGGCAGUUAAUGCGGCUGCUGUUUGUUCAGAUCCAGUCGCGCUGCCGAGCUCAGGCUUGGCCCCGCCUUGGAAGCCCCCGGGGACGUUGAAAGAUCCCAGCGUCCAAGUUGCACCUAGACUAUCCACUCCAGAACCUCAGGAGAGCUGGGUCAGGGGUGCCGAAGCCCCCCAGGAAUUCCAGCUGAGAGAGAGAGAGAGAGAGAGAGAGAGAGAGAGAGAGAGAGAGAGAGAGAUGCAGAGGCUGGGAGGCCGAGGGACUGGGCCACAUUCUAACCCGGAAGUCGGAGUCUCACCUGACGGCUCUGGUGUCUUCCUCAAGCCUCUGCUGAAGUCCAGCCUGGCCCCUCUGCAGGUCGACAAGCCCACCGCCCUCUCGGUCAGAGCCCCCUGGCUGCCCUGCCCCCAUCCCCAGCCCCAUGGGGGGUCGGGCUCGGGCCACCUGCUGGAAAGCAGGGCCUUGCUCUUAUCCAGCCCGCGCUCUCCAGGGCUUCGACAGGUGGGCUGCCCAACCCUCCUUUGCCAGUCCUGGGGACGGAGGGGACGGCGAGCCCCAGGCCCAGACGCCCUGCCCCUCAGCUCCCUCGCUGCCCAGGCCUCCUCUGCCACCUGGGAGAGGAAGGUCCAGCUCUCGACGCCAGGCACCCCUGGCCAGGGUGUCUAGGAUCCUGGGGGCAGGUCCCACCUCGGGGUCUGGACUGGGCUGCUAGGCACAGGGUGCCCGGCCCAGGGUCCCCCACAGGGAAGGAGAGUCUGGGAUGGGCAGUGGCUGUGCCCUGUCGGCCUCAGCGUCACCCACCCUCAUUCCACCCUGGGUCACCCUAGAGGGGACUCCCCGGGAGCACGGUGGCCACAGCCCUGACUCCAGUGGCCAGCCCGACCCCUACUGCUCUUUGGGAAUGGGAAGUGGAGAGUGAGAGCAGCCCAGUAAAGAACGUCCUUGUCACAGCAGCAGCCAGCCUGCCACUGAGAUUCCAGGUCAGAAGAGACAAAGGCCCCAUCAAACGCUGCAGGCGCCUGGCAGCUGUGACAGCCGGGGGCAGGGGGUGGGUGGGAGCGAGGAGGUUGAGGGGCACCAGCCCUGCCCGCCUCACCCCAGGACUCGGCCUCUCCCUGAGCUGGGAAGGGCACCGGAACUGCAGCACCGACAGGGGCCGGGCAGCACCUCGCACACACAGGCUCAGGCGGGGCUGGGUGCAGGCACCUGGCCACAGCGGGGGGCGGCCCACUCCCUGCCCAGCGACCCUCCUGCGUCAUCCGGAGCGCACACCACGGCUGCCAGGCUGCCACCAGCCCCAUUUUACAACCUGGGGAGCCGAGGCUGGCAGGACCCGAGCCCAGGAUGCGGCCCUGCGGCCUGCUCCCCGGUCAGCAGCACCGAGAGCCCUGCUCGUCUGAGGACACUGGCCACAGCAGCUGGGUAUGUGCCUUGGCACGGUCCCUUGCUCCUCCCAGCACUUGAUGGACAGCAGUGGGCUGAGCUCACGUUACGGGAAAGGAACAGGCUACCUCGGCCACGGCCGGGCCCCACCUCCUUCCUUUUCCUCAAAUUAGCUUCGACGCUUUGUAGCCGAGAAAGAGCGGCUCUGAGGGCCGCGCUGGGCCGGCGGGGGCUCUGCACGCAGGGAAGCCUCUGACGUGGGUGCCCACAGCUUCCAGCCUCCUUGUCGUCCAUGGCAGAGUGACCACCCCGGCCGCCCCGGCCGCCCCACCAGAGUGCCAUGUGUUCCUGCCAAGACCUUCUCAAGCCACCAGGCCCACCUGACGGGAGUCCAGUCAUCCAGGCCACCACCCACUGACCUUGGGCCAGGCAGUCCAGCGGCCCAGAUGGUGGACAGGAGGGAGCCCUGGGACGGCGUCCGCAGGUCCCCUCCCGCUGCUCCUGCGUGCAGCCUGCUCAUUUGCAAUUUGUAGACGCUCCUCUUUGCAGGGGGACCCUCGGCAGCUGCAGCGGCCUGUGGGCCUCCUGCCCUUAGGAUCAGUGGCUCUGGGCCCCUCUGGGUCCCCCUGAGAACAGUGCCUCUCCCUGUGGCUUUCCGUAACCCAAAAUAGCCAGAGCAGGCUAUUUUAAGGGACGGAGAGCAAGGGUCUGGGGAGCCAGGUUGGCUGGGGCUGACCCGUUACCAGGCGUCCCUGAGCAUUUGAGAAGCUCCAGGAAUGUUCCCCCUGCAGACGUCUGGGCAGCGCUGGGGCAGCCCAGGGCUCGCUGUAAACAGGACAUGGAGAGCAGGGGGCAGCCAGCAGACGGGCAGACUGCGGGGAGGACACAGCCCCCUCUGCCCGAGCCCAAGGACCCCAUUUUCCUAACAUUUGCCUGGCAGUUGCUGGAGUCCUCAGUCAAAUGUAUGCAAAUCCAGGUUCUGUGCCCGAGGUUUUGACCCUGAGUGGGCACUGUCCCUGGAGAGCCCUGACUCCAGAUGCCCGGGGAGAGGGGCGCUGGUGUUCCUUCACCCCCGGGGGGGCACAGAGCACCAACUGUGUGCUGGGAGUGUGCUGAGAGACAGUCCAGGUCCUGCGGGCUUACCCACUGACGGGCAGCUGGACGUCCAACGGGAAGAGACAACAGGACAUGCCUUGGUCACCCGAAGCAGGGAGAGUUGGGUGUGGCAUUGAAGUAGGACAGCAGUUGCCCUUGGGUGUCUGAGAGGCCGGCAGGGCAUGAAGGACCCUGGGGUCUCCCCUCUCUCCAGCUGGACACUGGCUACCCGGCAUGUCUGUCACGCCCUGGGCUUUGAGUGCUGUGCCCCUUUCUGCAUCUAGAUCUUCCUCUUCCUCAAAGUGCACAGGAAGUAAAGCCGAGGGCAGGAGGCGCCUCUGCGGGGAGUGCGGGCACCUUGUUCAACUUGAACGUGCCACAAACAACUGAGCUUUAACCUGAGUACAUCCCGAGUGUGGCCCGCAGGACCCGUGUCCUCCUCCCUGCCUCAGGGCAAGACGCGACCAGGAGCAGCAGAUGGGCCUGGCUGGGGAGCUCAGGCCCCAGGGAGACCCCAGGGCAGCCCGGUCGCACUGGGAAUGGGGAAGAACCAGCAGCCCAGCAAGGACAGUCAGGGUCCAGAUGGAGACCACGUCACUGAAAAUGGCCAUAAUGUACUUCUGAGUGACCAGCGCGCAUUAUCCUCCCCUGUGAUGAGCACCAGCAGCAUUUAUGGAGUUCCAGCACUGAAUGCAGAGGAGGGGCUGUGUACGAAGCUGGAGGCUGAGACCCUGCUCCUCUGACGGGGACCCUCCACACGACCCUGCUGGCUCUGGUGCUGGCUCCGGAAGUUCCCCUCUUCAAGCCUCAGUCUCCAUCCCUGAGAAGCAGGGGCCAUGACGGUGACAGCACACUCGGGGGCCUCGCCUCGGCUCUGCUGACCCAGCUGGUGAGCGCUGCAGGGCUGGGGCGGCUGUCCCCGGGCGCAGGGGACCGUGGCCUCCUGGCUGCUGGCCCAAGAUGCUGGCAACACCCCUCCCAGGCCUGGAGGCCCAAGGUCUCUGCAGGCAUCGCUGCGUCCCCGGGACACAAGCCACCUGUUGACAGCUGGGACGUUGCUGGGACUCACUGGGGCGUGGACGUGACUACUGCGGGACGGUCCAGCACCUAGUAACCACGCCCCCUGACCUGGGGCUGGACGUGGUUCGGGUCCCACUCACUGCUGAGGCCUGGGUCCCGCAGGCCAGCCUGGCUCACGCUGCCCAGCCCCCGGCCAUGCCCUGGAGGUGCCGCGGUCAGCGCGGGUGCUGGCCCCCUUCCCCACCUCCCUGGCGCUACCUUCACAGAGAUUGGGGGUGAGCAGGGGCACGCACACCCCGAAGACUGAAACCCUUGAACUCUGGCCUUGGCCAGCGGUGGCACCCAAGGUGCUCUGGGAACUGGGCCUGGACGCGGAGGGCAAGGGGCGGGGCGGGGCGGUGCCGGGACAUCGGGGUCCUGUUUUUGGCAUUCAAAUCGCGCCUCUCGAGGGGCCAGGCUGUCGGUCCCGAGGCAGAAGCCUAGCGAGCCCUCCCCUAACCCAGCCCUGCUCGCGGGGUCUGCAGAGGCUGUGUGGCCGGAGGAGCAAACCCAGGCUGCAGAACACGCAGCCGUGUCCAAGUCCCCCUUCUGCCCCCUGCAGGCUGUGUGGCUUUGGGCAGUGGCCCGAACUCUGGGGACCUUGAUUUCCCCAUUGACCUGAGGUCAGUGACACUCACACCGCCACCCGGCAGGGAUAUUGUGGGCAUUAAAUGAGGUACUACACACAGAAGCCCCUCUCGGGGCUGCACAGUGCCAGGUCUUGCCAACUGAAAAGCAAAGGCCAGCUCGGGUGGAUGCCCCGGAGCCAGGAGGACCCAGGAGAAGCUGCCGGGGCUGCGCGUGCCACCGGGCUGGUGUGACAUGGGUUCAGGAGCAAGGAGGACGGGCAUCCAGGCAAGGAGGACUCGGAGCACAAGGCCUGGGGGCAGCAGUACCCAGCAGCGGGGCGGCGGGCCACUGUGCUGCUCCGGGCAGGUGGAGAGCUCGCUAGCCCUGGCUGGAAGGUUCCACUGUCGGCAACUGACAUCCAUCGUCACUGCGACCUGGCGGGUUCAGCGCACAGCGGGCACCCGAGCAGGCAGGCAGGGCUGCGAACAGCAUGCGGUUGCGACAGGAGCUCUCUUCAGGUGAGAACGUGAACUUCUGAGCACCUGCGUCCAGAGCGGGGAGAGCCGCACCGGGUGGUCUGGAGGCAAGAAACCCGGGGAAAAUACAACGCAGGGGACUUGGUGUGAGAGACACAAGGAGCCGGAGGCCAGAGGUGGAAAGCACCAGCUUCCUGGGGACACGCCAAGUCCCCAGAACCAAGGGGCACCUUGCACCCGCUAGUCACGGGACAGGGCCGCUGCCCUCGGUCUCCAUGGUGGAGAGCAGAGGUUCCUCCACACCGGCGGAGCCCGGUCGGGGUGCCCGUCCCCCAGCCUCCCAGGACAGCCCUCACCAGGGGGACGUCCAGCUCACCUGGGACGCUGGUGCCGGGGCGGGGGCGCUCGGUCCCACCUGCCCUGCCCAGCAGCAGCACGUCCCACCCCUCUGUGGACGGUUCGUGGGGCUCCGAGAGGUGGCCUGGCUCCUCAGGACCCACGGCCACCCCCGCAGGCGGCCACGCAGCGCGGUCCUCGUCCCCACAGCGUCGCCCGCAGGACUCGCUCUCAGCCACACCCCCUCGCCUGGCUCCCUGCCCUAAGAACAGGAAGGUCUCAGUGCAGGCCAUAUAGUCCAUUCCGUAGGGUGCCAGCCUUUCAUGCUGGAGGCCCGGGUUCGAGUCCCCAGCACUCAGUGAUUAUGGAAAUAACAAACAAAGGAAACCAAGAACAGGAAGGUCUCUGGGGACCUGCCCAGAGCUCCCGGGGCCACACCACGCCCUGCGCCGCUCCACCACCCAGCCGGAGUCCGGGGCACCGGGCUCGGUGUCGGCCACCAGGUCUGAUUUCAGCAAGGAAAUUGGCCAAGCGAGAUUGCAGGAUGUCAGAGGAGCUUCCUCGCCUCCCUCGCAACAGGGCAAAGCGAGGGCCGCACCCGCCAGGACUCCGCCCUGAGGAGGCACUACAGACGGUGAGAUGGGUCGCGCCUGGGCCAAGUGACAGAAAGAAAAAUUCCUCUCCGCGUGGCCCGUGGUCCUUUCCUGUGCCUGUCGCAACAACUUACCAGGAACUAGGCUGUCAAAACACACUCAGGUUCUGGAAGCCGAUGUCCAAAGUCAAGGUGGCACAAGGUCUCACUCCCUCCACAAGCCCCACGGGUCGGAUCCUUCCUGCCUCCCCCAGCCUCUGGAGGCUCUGGGCUUUCCUCGGCUUGUGGCCACGCCACCCUGGCCUCUGCACGGCCCUGGCCUCCAGGAGGACUUCACAUGGCCACUUCCUCUGCAUCCCCUCCCCUUCUCUUCCCUCCUAUGGACACUGGCCUUGGACUUGGGGCCCACCUUAAUCCAGGAGGGGCUCAUCUCAAGAUCCUUAAUUACAUUUCCAAGGACACUUUCCCCCGGUCAGGUCACACUUAGAGGUUUCAGGAGACCACGCCCCGGGGCCAGCCCUCACCACCCUACACAGAGUGGAGCACAGGGCUCUCUGCUGUGUGCUGACCUCCACGGCUGUGACCGCAUGAGACAUAUAGCCACAUACCCUCCACAGGAUAUAUGCAGCCCUAGCCAGGCACAGUGGCCAUGCCUGAGAUUUCAGACUCAGGAGGCUGAGGCAGGAGGAUGGCAAAUUCAAGGGCAGCCUGGGAAACUUAGCAAGACCCUCAGCAACUUAACAACAGCCUGUCUCAAAAAGUAAAAUAAAAAUGACUGAGGAUAUUGCUCAAUGGAAAAGCACCCUUGAGUGCUGAGCCAUGUCUGGGAGAUCCACACUUGGCUUCAUUUCAAAUAGCACGAAACCACAGGCGCCAGCCCUCCGACCCUGUACUACCCCACUGAGCAAGGACUGGCAUUAGCCCAUUUUUAUGAGGAGGAAACUGAGGCUCUGAGACCCUGAGUAAUGGAGCUGGGAUUAGGGCCAGAUGCACCCCUUCCACCAGGACUUGAGCUCUCCCCAGCUUCUCCCACUGCAAGGCGAGGACCCCACCUCCAGGGCUCCCAGGACCAGGCUCCACAGAAGCUUCCAGCCUGUCUCCUCAGGCCUCUCACUACCCAGGGGAGUGGGCACAUGGUCAAGGGCACCCCUUGACAUGCAAGGGGCCCUGGGGAGCUUGCUGGAGAGGCUGUGCUCACCCCUCACCUUCGAGGUUCAUGGCCAGCCAGGAUCUUCUAGGAGAAGCUGGUGACCUGAAGCAGCAGCCCCGGCCCCUCCCCCUCGGCUAAAGCCCCAUCUGCAAACCAGCCGCAUCAGGGCCACCUGGGGCCUCAGGCAGCUGCGGACCUCCGGGCUCAGAAGGUAGGAGCGCCUGGGCACAGGAGGCCUCCCAAAGUCUGAGCAGCCUGCUUCCCUCCAAGGAGAGAUCCUGGGGCCCAUGUGCCGGGACCCCCACAUGCCAGAACCCACAGUGUCCCUGUGACUGGGCACAAGGCCACUGGGCCUCACGCUACAGCCAGGUGCCUAAUCAGCGUCUUCCUUUGCAGCAGACAAAUGGCCUUGGUGGUUUAGGAGGCUCCCUUAGACACAUCUCAGAGACCCUGCGACAGCGUCCCCUGGGAGGAAACCCUGCUACCCAGGCAAGGUCAGAGGGGACGCAGACCCAAGCCCAGGACGGUUCUAAUACUGGCUGCAUGUGGACCCACUGAGAGAGCCAGUAACAGCAGCAUUGGGUCCUCCAGAACCUGGGGCCCUGUGUGCUUCCUGGAUCACAUGCCCACAAAGCCAGCCGAGCUCCAGGUGUCUGUCCUCAGAGACCACUAUCAACAGAUGCCUCCACCUAGCAGUCUGCCCCCCACCUCUGCAGGGUCCCCCUUGGUCAAAGUGCAAAUGGAUCUAGAGGUCAGAGUGGCCCACACCAUUAUCAAGAGAGGCAGGGACAGGAGGAGAGGGAGCUCGGGAAAGGUCAGAUGGUCACCAGGCAGCUCCAAGGGAUAAACCGAUCCGUGACAGGCAGGCAGCCCCAGCCAGACCCCCACGUGGACCCCUCUGCUUCCUGUGACCGUGGGGGAAAAUCAGCCCACGAGCAGGCUGCCUCUUCUGGGCAGUGGACGGACGGGCACUGUGCACCCUGCACUCGCCCUGACCAGGCCGCAGGGUGAGCCAGCAUGGAGGGAUACUGCAGCUUGGGGGGAUGUUCCCAGGACAGCCUGGACGCCAGCCAGUGGCCACCAGCAGGACAGGCCCCACGCCCACAGACUCAGUGUGCAGGGAGGAGCUGCCGUGCCACGCGGGCAACGCUGGCAGCCUUCACAAGCGACAGGACCAAAGGCAGCCCUAGAGCAGAGCCGAGGAACCCAGGCAGGGGACACGGGGUCAGCUCCAGGGGCUGGGGCUGGGGAGGCAGGUGGCAGGAGGGGGAGGGAGAAUCAAGUGAGGGAUCAACUCCUCACCUCGCACCUGAGCCAGACAAGGUGGCCGUAGACCAAGACCAGGCGAGGCCACAGGGCGAUUGCAGAUGGACAGCAUCUCCCUGGAGCGCACCCCACACCUUGCAAAAGUCCUGCCCACAGUCACAGUGACCAGCGAGGUGCCACACCGGUGCCGCUCCACACAGGCUCAACUAGCCUAGCAACGGUUCCAUGCCAUGCUGUGAAACCAAUGCUCUACAGAGGAAGAACCUGAGGGUCAGACAGGAACCCCUCCCGGGGCCACAAGCCAUCAAUGGCAAUUGCAGUCUUCAGACCCGGACCAGGUCAUGUGGCCACGUUCCCGUUCCUCUCCUGAAGUGAGUGCCAGCAACUCCACCUCUCCUCCUGGCACGGGUCAGCAGGGCCUCCUCCUGCAUCCUGGAGGGCGGGGCCCGGGGAGGCAGAGGCGCAGCAGCAGGGUAGGAGGCGCCAUGUGACUCUUUCUCUAAGUUGAAUGACAUCGACUUCCCUCGGGGAGGCCGGGCUCCCUGGUUGCUGCCGCACAGCUUCGCAGUGUGACCGGGGCAGGCGCAGGGCCCUGGGCUGGGAGCGGCUGCCGCGCUCAGCGCUCCUCGGUCACCGUGCUGACCCCGUCAGUGCCGCUGGACCAAGCUCCGCGUGCUCCUCGUGCACUGACCACAAGUCGUCCUGCCCCCACUGCCCAGGGAACGUGGACACCCAGGUCCUGCCGGCUGGGACUUUCCAGGUGCCUGGGCAGCACACGGGCCACCGUGGGCUCUCCUCGUCAGAGGGCUGAGGCUGGGCAGAUCUGCAGCCUCUGGCCGGGCCGGAGGCCCUGAGGCUGGGCCUGCAUGCUGGGUGCUUUGGGGACAGGGCCCUGCUGCCCACGCCACUCCCAGGGCAGACCUGGCCAGCCUCCCUCCCAGACCAGAAGCGCCCCCCCCCAGGGGCCUCCGCACCCUUCCCUUGGGCCUCUGCAGGAAGGGACUUUGACUGCCCUGCCCCCUCGGACAGGGCCGGCUCCAGACCUCCCCUGGCUGGCCUCCCGCCUGGUGGUGUGGUGGGGAGGGCCCGCUGCCCACCUUGGCUCACCGAGUGUGGAGCCCUGCUGUCCACCACCACGCCCACCCCAUGCACCCCGCGUCUUCCGGAAGCUCCACAUGCCUCAGAGGCCCCUCCACCCACCCACUGGAACCCCUGUGAUGUGGGUGGGAAAGCCUCCCUCCCAAAGCCCAGGGGAGGCACAUGACUCAGGCCCCGUCCAUCGCUAUUCCAUCCAACCCAAGUGAACCCGUGUUCAGGGGUGGACACGACCCUAACCCAGAGCAUGCGUGGUUCAGGGAAACCAUUGGGAAGAAAGAGUCUCACUUUCUGUUGGAAGGAGAGGUGGGAGGUAAACCGUGAGCUGCAGGCACGUCUGGGGAAGGCAGCGUCAGAAAUGGAGAAAAGGAUGACGUGUUGGGAGCCUGGAUCCAGCUGUGCCUGAAGCCAGAUAACCAAGAGCAUUUCGGUUACAUAGAUUAUUUUUCUUAAGCCCCUUGAGUCAGGUUUUGUGUCACUCACUCACGACCGAAAGCGCCCCUCCCAUACACAUGCCAUCUCCUGUUGUUGCCACGGUUUCAGCCGCGUGGAUGCCAAUCCACGCUUGGUACCCAAGGCAUCGCCCAGGAUUUGGAAAAUUCCCAAAGUUGGUGAAGGAAGACCUCGGACAGGCCAGUGCCUCUUGCUCACUUUCUUUUCUCGGGCAUCGCAGCCGGGGAAAGAGGCCACAGGGAGCCCUGUCCCUCCCCACAGUACAGAGGAGGCCGGGCCCCACCGUGCCUGGCAAGGCAGAAUGCUGAGAUGCCCCCGGGAUCCUGCCUGGAGGAGGCACUCAGUCUGAUCCCCUUCCCGGAGUGUAGGCGGGACGGCGUGUGUGGAGCUUCAUUCCCAUGAGCGAGCCAGUUAGCCGACGAGGAUCACCUGGGGCAGGCGAGCCUAGGUGGGCCUGGCCUAGGCAGGUGUGCUCUCAAAAGGGACGUGCCCUCCUGAAAGUCAGAGGAUGGGAGUGGACAGGCCUAAGGACGGGACCGUGUGGUCAGGACCCGUGAGCCAUCUCUAGAAGCCGCGGGCAGUCCCCAGCCAGGAGCGGGCAAGACAGUAGGAUAGGCCUGGGGAGCUUGGAAAUGGGGCUUCACACUGUCACUGAGGAAACCCUAAUAAAC